rnacentral:rRNA from 1 species
UACGUAGGGACCAAGCGUUGUUCGGAUUCAUUGGGCGUAAAGGGUGCGUAGGUGGCGCUGUAAGUCGGGUGUGAAAUCCUGAGGCUUAACCUCGGAACUGCGUCUGAAACUACUCGACUAGAGUACUGGAGAGGGAAACGGAAUUCACGGUGUAGCAGUGAAAUGCGUAGAUAUCGUGAGGAACACCAGAGGCGAAGGCGGUUUCCUGGACAGUUACUGACGCUCAGGCACGAAAGCAUGGGGAGCAAAAGGG